GCCGUGCAUAAUGCAUCACAGAGACUUUGGCGGGGGAUCGAAGUUCGCCGGAUAUUGCGGUUCACUGUUAUGCAUCCGGCGAGGUCAACUGAAGUGGAAGUUUGAUGGGCACGAAUUCGCUACCAUCUGCACUGGUUUGCCAGAUGCCGAUGAUCACGGCCCUGUUGGUGAAACGUCAACGUGAAACAAUCGCCGCUGCUAGCCAGUAUUUCUACGCUGACGAUGUUACGAGUUAAGCGCACGUGAGAUUAUCGGGUCACUGAUUUCAACAAUCGAACGCGUCGAACGUGGCGGACUUAAUCAUUUCCUUCACAUACACACACACACACACACAGAGUAACUCGUGAACUAUAUUAGAUCGACCAUCCUGCAAAUUUGAUUAACCACAAUGCCUAAGAUUUACCAAAUAUCACGUAGUUGAUCUAAUUUGUACUAUGUUCAUUGAAAAUGAAAUCACUGUUCAUGGUCUAUGGAAUUUUUAAACGCGACGACACUUUCCGAAGCUCGGUUCUUUAAAAACACUGUACUAGCAGGUACCAUUACGUAUCGUCACACAGUACUCCUUCCUUAAGAGCGAAGUCACUUGGAAGCGUAAACGAGAGGCAUUUAUCGGAGUAGUACAGCGCACGGAAUGGUAUGAACGCGGCGAUUUGGAGCAGGCCGCGCGACGCGCGACUAUGUGAAAAUAGGGGACGGAGGAAGAAGAGAGAGUGAAGCGAAGAAAACCAGGCAGAGGAAGGAGAGAGAACGAAACACAAGACAACUCUCGUGUUCUAGCCGACGAAAGGCUGACCACCUCCCACUGACUAGAAAUCAUGAACGCACACCUCACCACGAAUUUAUGGAGAUCUCGGGCUCGCUCUCGCUCCUCCACUCCGUGGUUUCGAAUUUGUACCCGCCGCACCCAAACUCGUGUUGCGGCCGCUUAUUAUUUAUCUUUAAUCGGACUCCCUCCGUUUCUUAAUGCCCCACCUUUGACUUUGAGCUGAGUUCAACGUUAAUUCUUCGAUUCGAUGCGUUUUAUGAUCUGAAUCUCAUCGCAACGAUCGAUGACGAUCGAUUUUAAUCCAAUUAUACUUUGCCCGAAGACCGAAGUUGUAGGAAUUCUGGUUAUAGAUAGAAGAAACGUGAAGGGAACAUUAAUUUCACGUUCGACGCGGUGAUGUCACGCGAUAAGAUAUAUAUUCCCGAACGUAUCGCUACGUUGUACGCAUACAUGACAUGAUUUUACGCGUCUUGUUCCCGAGCGUGUUGGCGAUCGCAGUGCAAAUGAAAAUAGAUUUUACUUUUACUGCCGCGCUACUUGGCCUGUCUCUCUGUACCUCUCUCUCUGUCUUUCUCUCUCUCUCUCGAUCCAAACAUUCUUUCUCGGGAUCUUUGAUAACUGUAGUAGAGAUAAUACAUGCGCAUAUAGAUUAUUUAAUAUCUAAUUACUAUUUACAAUUACAUAAAUUUGGCACAGGUAAAUAAAAAUAAUUUAUUGACGCGCUCUAUACGACGAUUCUGUGUCUAUGUACAUAUACGUAUGUACUACAUUCGAUCCGAUUAUUUGUGCGAUUUGUACUCGACGGAACCAUUUUAUUCUCCGUCGUCCGCCUCUUUCUCCUUUUCGAAGAGUAUGAAAUGUAUAAAAUUUACAUUCGUAACGAUUCUGCUGCCUCGAAUAUAAUGGUUCGUGAUAAAAUCGAGAAAAAAGAAAUUUGAAGAAAUAAAAUGUAAUUGCGAUUA